AACGAACGCUGGCGGCAUGCCUAACACAUGCGAGUCGAACGAGACCUUCGGGUCGAUUGGCGCACGGGUGCGUAACGCGGGGGAAGCGGGCCUUAGGUUCGGAAUAACUCGCUGAAGGGGGUGCUAAUACCGGAUAAUUUCUUCUGACCAAAGAUUUAUCGCCUUUGGAUGGGCCGGCGUUGGAUGAGCUAGCUGGUAGGGUAAAAGCCUACCAAGGCGACGAUCGAUAGCUGGUCUGAGAGGAUGAUCAGCCACACUGGGGCUGAGAAACGGCGCAGACUCCUACGGGAGGCAGGAGUGGGGAAUAUAGGCAAAUGGGGGAAAGCAUGAUCCAGCAAGGCCGCGAGAGUGAUGAAGGCCUUAGGGUUGUAAAGCUCGUUUACCCGGGAUGAUAAUGACAGUACCGGGAGAAUAAGCUCCGGCUAACUCCGUG
rnacentral:rRNA from 1 species